rnacentral:rRNA from 1 species
GACGAACGCUGGCGGCGUGCCUAAUACAUGCAAGUCGAACGCUUCUUUCCUCCCGAGUGCUUGCACUCAAUUGGAAAGAGGAGUGGCGGACGGGUGAGUAACACGUGGGUAACCUACCCAUCAGAGGGGGAUAACACUUGGAAACAGGUGCUAAUACCGCAUAACAGUUUAAGCCGCAUGGCAUAAGAGUGAAGGGCGCUUUCGGGUGUCGCUGAUGGAUGGACCCGCGGUGCAUUAGCUAGUUGGUGAGGUAACGGCUCACCAAGGCCACGAUGCAUAGCCGACCUGAGAGGGUGAUCGGCCACACUGGGACUGAGACACGGCCCAGACUCCUACGGGAGGCAGCAGUAGGGAAUCUUCGGCAAUGGACGAAAGUCUGACCGAGCAACGCCGCGUGAGUGAAGAAGGUUUUCGGAUCGUAAAACUCUGUUGUUAGCGAAGAACAAGGACGUUAGUAACUGAACGUCCCCUGACGGUAUCUAACCAGAAAGCCACGGCUAACUACGUG